rnacentral:lncRNA from 1 species
UUGGUGCCGAAGGAAUCAUCAUCAUCUUCGCCAUCAUCGCUAGCCACCUAGGCCAUCCGUGCCUUCGCCGCCCACCACGAUUCCUCCCUCUCGUCCGCUUAUGGUGAAUCCGCCUUCUCCUCUGCCUAUCGGGAAGCCAGUCAUCCGAAUCCCCAGGGCCCCCACCUUUGAGGAGUUCCGAUCUACGCCAGCAACAAAGGACUCGUCGCCAUCUGCACCGUCAUCGCUAGCCACCCAGGCC